GAUGAACGCUGGCGGCGUGCCUAAUACAUGCAAGUCGAGCGAACAGAUGAGGAGCUUGCUCCUCUGACGUUAGCGGCGGACGGGUGAGUAACACGUGGAUAACCUACCUAUAAGACUGGGAUAACUACGGGAAACCGGAGCUAAUACCGGAUAAUAUAUUGAACCGCAUGGUUCAAUAGUGAAAGACGGUUUUGCUGUCACUUAUAGAUGGAUCCGCGCCGCAUUAGCUAGUUGGUAAGGUAACGGCUUACCAAGGCAACGAUGCGUGGCCGACCUGAGAGGGUGAUCGGCCACACUGGAACUGAGACACGGUCCAGACUCCUACGGGAGGCAGCAGUAGGGAAUCUUCCGCAAUGGGCGAAAGCCUGACGGAGCAACGCCGCGUGAGUGAUGAAGGUCUUCGGAUCGUAAAACUCUGUUAUUAGGGAAGAACAAAUGUGUAAGUAACUAUGCACGUCUUGACGGUACCUAAUCAGAAAGCCACGGCUAACUACG
rnacentral:rRNA from 1 species